CAAUAGCGUAUAUUAAAGUUGUUGCAGUUAAAAGCUCGUAGUUGAACUUCUGGUCAAGCGUGACCUUGGCUUCGGUCGAGGCAGGCAUGGCCAUCCGUCAGAAAACCAGGGAGGGUCUUAAGUGAUCGCUCUGGGGAUCUGACACUUUACUUUGAAAAAUUAGAGUGCUCAAAGCAGGCUAUUACGCCUGAAUAUUCGUGCAUGGAAUAAUAGAAUAGGAAGUCGUUUCUAUUUUGUUGGUUUUCGGAAAUCGACUUAAUGAUUAAUAGGGACAGUCGGGGCAUUUGUAUUCAAACGACAGAGGUGAAAUUCUUGGACCGUUUGAAGACAAACUACUGCGAAAGCAUUUGCCAAGAAUGUUUCAUUAAUCAAGAACGAAAGUUAAAGGUUCGAAGAUGAUUAGAUACC
rnacentral:rRNA from 1 species